AGUGAACGCUGGCGGUAGGCCUAACACAUGCAAGUCGAACGGCAGCACAGUAAGAGCUUGCUCUUACGGGUGGCGAGUGGCGGACGGGUGAGGAAUACAUCGGAAUCUACUUUUUCGUGGGGGAUAACGUAGGGAAACUUACGCUAAUACCGCAUACGACCUACGGGUGAAAGCAGGGGAUCUUCGGACCUUGCGCGAUUGAGUGAGCCGAUGUCGGAUUAGCUAGUUGGCGGGGUAAAGGCCCACCAAGGCGACGAUCCGUAGCUGGUCUGAGAGGAUGAUCAGCCACACUGGAACUGGGACACGGUCCAGACUCCUACGGGAGGCAGCAGUGGGGAAUAUUGGACAAUGGGCGCAAGCCUGAUCCAGCCAUACCGCGUGGGUGAAGAAGGCCUUCGGGUUGUAAAGCCCUUUUGUUGGGAAAGAAAAGCAGCAGGUUAAUACCCCGCUGUUCUGACGGUACCCAAAGAAUAAGCACCGGCUAACUUCGUG
rnacentral:rRNA from 1 species